AAUCAACGCUGGCGGCGUGCCUAACACAUGCAAGUCGAACGCGAAAGGGGCUUCGGUCCUGAGUAGAGUGGCGAACGGGUGAGUAACACGUGGGUGAUCUACCUUCGAGUGGGGGAUAACGUUCCGGAAGGAGCGCUAAUACCGCAUGACGUUCUGGGUUUGAAGACCUGGAAACCAAAGCCGGGGACCGCAAGGCCUGGCGCUAGGAGAGGAGCCCGCGCCUGAUUAGCUAGUUGGUGAGGAAUGGCUCACCAAGGCGACGAUCAGUAGCCGGCCUGAGAGGGGCGGACGGCCACACUGGGACUGAGACACGGCCCAGACUCCUACGGGAGGCAGCAGUGGGGAAUUGUUCGCAAUGGGCGCAAGCCUGACGACGCAACGCCGCGUGGAGGAUGAAGGUCUUCGGAUUGUAAACUCCUGUU
rnacentral:rRNA from 1 species